UACGUAGGGGGCUAGCGUUGUCCGGAAUCAUUGGGCGUAAAGAGCGUGUAGGCGGUCCGGUAAGUCCGCUGUGAAAGUCGGGGGCUCAACCCUCGAAUGCCGGUGGAUACUGUCGGGCUAGAGUGCGGAAGAGGCGAGUGGAAUUCCUGGUGUAGCGGUGAAAUGCGCAGAUAUCGGGAGGAACACCAAUGGCGAAGGCAGCUCGCUGGGACGGUACUGACGCUGAGGCGCGAAAGCGUGGGGAGCAAACAGG
rnacentral:rRNA from 1 species